rnacentral:rRNA from 1 species
UACAGAGGUCUCAAGCGUUGUUCGGAUUCAUUGGGCGUAAAGGGUGCGUAGGCGGCGCGGUAAGUCGGAUGUGAAAUCUCGGAGCUUAACUUCGAAACUGCAUUCGAUACUGCCGUGCUUGAGGACUGGAGAGGAGACUGGAAUUUACGGUGUAGCGGUGAAAUGCGUAGAUAUCGUAAGGAAGACCAGUGGCGAAGGCGGGUCUCUGGACAGUUCCUGACGUGAGGCACGAAGGUCAGGGGAGCAAACGGG